rnacentral:rRNA from 1 species
UACGGAGGGUGCAAGCGUUGUCCGGAUUUAUUGGGUUUAAAGGGUGCGUAGGCGGCCGUUUAAGUCCGGGGUGAAAGCCCACUGCUCAACAGUGGGACUGCCCUGGAAACUGGAGAACUUGAGUACAGACGAGGGCGGCGGAAUGGAUGGUGUAGCGGUGAAAUGCAUAGAUACCAUCCAGAACCCCGAUUGCGAAGGCAGCUGCCUAGACUGUAACUGACGCUGAGGCACGAAAGCGUGGGGAGCGAACAGG